GCGAACGGGAUUAGAUACCCUGGUAGUCCACGCUGUAAACGAUGUCGAUUUGGAGGUUGUGCCCUUGAGGCGUGGCUUCCGGAGCUAACGCGUUAAAUCGACCGCCUGGGGAGUACGGCCGCAAGGUUAAAACUCAAAUGAAUUGACGGGGGCCCGCACAAGCGGUGGAGCAUGUGGUUUAAUUCGAUGCAACGCGAAGAACCUUACCUACUCUUGACAUCCAGAGAACUUUCCAGAGAUGGAUUGGUGCCUUCGGGAACUCUGAGACAGGUGCUGCAUGGCUGUCGUCAGCUCGUGUUGUGAAAUGUUGGGUUAAGUCCCGCAACGAGCGCAACCCUUAUCCUUUGUUGCCAGCGGUUCGGCCGGGAACUCAAAGGAGACUGCCAGUGAUAAACUGGAGGAAGGUGGGGAUGACGUCAAGUCAUCAUGGCCCUUACGAGUAGGGCUACACACGUGCUACAAUGGCAUAUACAAAGAGAAGCGACCUCGCGAGAGCAAGCGGACCUCAUAAAGUAUGUCGUAGUCCGGAUUGGAGUCUGCAACUCGACUCCAUGAAGUCGGAAUCGCUAGUAAUCGUAGAUCAGAAUGCUACGGUGAAUACGUUCCCGGGCCUUGUACACACCGCCCGUCACACCAUGGGAGUGGGUUGCAAAAGAAGUAGGUAGCUUAACCUUCGGGAGGGCGCUCACCACUUUGUGAUUC
rnacentral:rRNA from 1 species